rnacentral:rRNA from 1 species
UACGAAGGGGGCGAGCGUUGUUCGGAAUCACUGGGCGUAAAGGGCGCGUAGGCGGCCCUCUUUGUCGCGUGUGAAAGCCCCGGGCUCAACCUGGGAACGGCGCGCGAAACGGGGGGGCUGGAGUUCGGGGAGAGGAGAGUGGAAGUUCCCAGUGUAGAGGUGAAAUUCGUAGUAUUGGGAAGAACACCGGUGGGCGAAAGCGGCUCUCUGGACCGAGACUGACGCUGAGACGCGAAAGCGUGGGGAGCAAACAGG